AUUGCCCUAGUAACGGCGAGUGAAGCGGCAACAGCUCAAAUUUGAAAUCUGGCCUUCGGGUCCGAGUUGUAAUUUGUAGAGGAUGCUUUUGGUGAGGUGCCUUCCGAGUUCCCUGGAACGGGACGCCAUAGAGGGUGAGAGCCCCGUCUGGUUGGACACCGAUCCUCUGUAAAGCUCCUUCGACGAGUCGAGUAGUUUGGGAAUGCUGCUCUAAAUGGGAGGUAUAUGUCUUCUAAAGCUAAAUAUUGGCCAGAGACCGAUAGCGCACAAGUAGAGUGAUCGAAAGAUGAAAAGCACUUUGAAAAGAGAGUUAAAAAGUACGUGAAAUUGUUGAAAGGGAAGCGCUCAUGACCAGACUUGGGCUUGGUUGAUCAUCCAGGGUUCUCCCUGGUGCACUCUUCCAGUUCAGGCCAGCAUCAGUUCGCUGCGGGGGAUAAAGGCUUUGGGAAUGUGGCUCCUUCGGGAGUGUUAUAGCCCAUUGUGUAAUACCCUGUGGUGGACUGAGGUUCGCGCAUUCGCAAGGAUGCUGGCGUAAUGGUCAUCAGCGACCCGUCUUGAAACACGGACCAAGGAGUCGUCUUCGUAUGCGAGUGUUCGGGUGUUAAACCCCUACGCGUAAUGAAAGUGAACGCAGGUGAGAGCUUCGGCGCAUCAUCGACCGAUCCUGAUGUUCUCGGAUGGAUUUGAGUAAGAGCAUACGGGGCCGGACCCGAAAGAAGGUGAACUAUGCCUGUAUAGGGUGAAGCCAGAGGAAACUCUGGUGGAGGCUCGCAGCGGUUCUGACGUGCAAAUCGAUCGUCAAAUAUGGGCAUGGGGGCGAAAGACUAAUCGAACCUUCUAGUAGCUGGUUUCCGCCGA
rnacentral:rRNA from 1 species